CUGGGAAUGGGGUGGCUCAUACCUGUAAUCCCAGCACUUUGGGAGGCCAAGGUGGGAGGGUCACUUGAGGCCAGGAGUUCAAGACCAGCCUGAGUAAAAAAUAAAAAAAUUUAAAAAAAAGGUUGUUUUGGAGCAUCGAAGGAAAGAAAGUUCGUAAAACUUUAUUUGGGAGAUUCUGCAAGGCCUUCAUAUGGAUUUUAAAGGAUAUGGAAGAGUUCCAAGGCCAAGUUCGGAAAGAAGACAUGUUAGAGGAAAUAAAAAUCACUAGAAAAGCCAUUAAUGUGGGAAAAUAAGAUAUCUGUUAGAGGAUGAAGGAGUAGAAAAAUUUUGAACGAAGUGUAGUCAUGAGUGGUAAGUCUGAAUAAGCCAUGCUUAGAAAUAUUUUUGAAUGCCAAGGCAAAGCCACAUCUGUUUCAUUUGACAGGCAGAGCUGAGGUCACAGUUGGCCUGAAGUGAAAAACCCGAAUUCUUGCAGGGACUAGACAAGAUUAGUGGUCUAGGCAUAAAAAUAAUCAGGAGGCAACCAUGACCCAACUCCAGCUCACACCACUCAAGAAUACAGUCACCUGGCCAGAACCUUUGAUUUUUCAAAAGAAGCAAAACAACAAAAAUCCAAAAGCUUAGGUGUCUGCAGGACUAAGCUGUGGUGUGGAGAGCCGCUGGGCAGAGGUGGUACAGGGAGGAUCAGAGAAAGCUCCAGCAAAAGGCUUCUGCUGCUCUAACUUUCUUUCUAUCCUGAUGAAGAAACCCAAAAGCAUUCCUCUCUGAGUGUUACGGAUUGAAUUGCAUUCCCUUGAAAGAUGUUGAAGUUCUAACCCGUAGUGCCUGUGAAUGUGACCUUAUUUGGAAAUGGGGUCCUUGCAGAUGAUUAAGUGAAGAUGAAGACAUUAGGGUGGAAAGUUUGGACUCAGAGACAGAGAUGCACACAAGGAAAAGGCCAUGUGAAGAUGAAGAGAUUGGAGUGACGCGCCAACAAGCCAAGGAACAACAAAGAUCGCCACCAAAACACCAGAGGCAAGGAGAGAGGCCGAGAACAGAUUCUCCCUCAUAGCCCUUCGAAGGAUCCAAGCCCAUGACACCUUAAUUUUGGACUUCUACUCUCCAGAGCUGUGAGAGGAUACAUUUCGGUUAUUUUCAGCCACCCAGUUUACGGACUUUGUUAUGGCAGCCUUGGGAAGCAAAUGCACUCAGUACAUGUUAAUUUGUAUCUUACCUACUUUGUACUUGCAAGGUGUCUCUGGGUCUCUGGUGUACACCACGGCCUGCCCUUGAGCAUGCUGGGGUGCUCAGCACGGGGGUAGCCCUGCAGCCUGACUCUCUGUAGACAGAUCAGGAUCGGUCUAACAUGGAAUUAUGAAGUGGAGCCAGGGUCAGCUUUGGGCCACGCCUGCCUUCUGUGCCGGCCUUGGAUUAUGUUCAAAUUCAUCUCAUGCUACCCCAGCAGAAAAGAGUGUCUUCAAUAAAUUCACUCAAAAGGAGGUACCAGUGAAGAAAUUGUCCCUCCCAAGUGAAUGAGUCACACCCAAAUGCUAAGAUCUGAUUCCUUGGUGCCUGGUUGGGAAAGAUUUUGGGGUCAAGGAGGGGCCCACCCAGACUCCCACACCUGCGUGCCCUGUAGGCCAUGCACCCCGCGUACUGUUCUCUGCACAGAUCUCAUGCUGCCAGACAUCAGGGAUCUUUUCUAGCAGAGAAGGCUAUGUAAGCAGCCCAGGUAAACACCUCAGGCCUUCACAGAAAUAAGGGCCACCUCAGAGAGCAUUUGGAAAUAGAGAGGUUAGAGGACCCAAGGGAGUCCAAGGGACUUAUGGUUAAAGCUUGGAAAACAAUUAGAGUUGGAAUGCUCACCCAGCAGCAGCCAGGGGACCUGCCCAGCACUGCUCUCCAGAAACUCCAGGAGCAAAAUUCUGUUAGGUUGAUUUUCAGGAAAGGAAAAGAAAUCC
rnacentral:lncRNA from 10 species